GGUAAUCAUACAUCAGUAGGUUCUUGAAUGUUGCUUCACCUUCAUUCGAUCUAUUCGGAUGUCAAGUCACCAUUGCUAGAUGGUUACAUCGAUUGGUUUAGAAAGUUAUUCCUGUGCUAUCGGUUUAGGUUUAAACCUAUGGGGUCACGCUCAAAAAAAAUUUCUGACUGAUCAUGUGGCUGAUCAAUAAUUGAGAAUCAUUCAGGGGC
rnacentral:lncRNA from 1 species